CAUCAAAUACAAAGCAAGGAAAAGAACUAAACAAAAGGUUCGAGAGAAGAAAUCCAAAAAGACUAUAGAAAAAGUUCAUAAAGUGAAAGAAAGGAAGAAGAAAAGGAAGAAGCCCACCGAAUAAUUGAAUGGUGGCCUAAAAAGCAUGUGUUGGAAGCUCUAGAAACAAUUAGCAGUGAUAGAGAACUCUUCCGACAACAGCACAAGUGGAGACCAAGUGAAGAACUGAUAGAAGGUGAAAGGAAGCAGGAGGGGGUGGCUAAAAUUUAUAAUGCCUCUAAUGGUCCUAAGCAGUCCGAUGGUUCAAUAUACCCAUCUGAGAUGCUGAUACAUGUUAGUCUUUGAUUUCCACAGUAAUCCAUAGUAAUUGAAGAAAACAUGCACUUUGCCACAUGUUAGCUUUGGAGAUGGUGCGUCAGUAACCAAGAGAUCCUGGAAUUGAAUGUUUUAAAUGAUCUUUAUGCACCACCUCAAUUUUCAUGCUUCCAUAAUUAUGGUGCUUCAUUCACUAUGAAAACUAGAGCCUAGAACCUUCUACACAGUAGUAGUGGUGUAAGCGAGAAGCAUCAACCUAAAGACAAUCCUCCUCGGACAUUCCUGGCAACCAAAAAAUGACUCCCCAAUGAACUACUCCUAUCACCCAAUGUUAGCAAGUUACCUUGGACUCAAGUGUGGGGGGCAAGCAUUGGGGUGUUGGCCCAUUUAGGUGAGUCAUUUUUUACAACCACACUACUUCAACCUGGGAUGAGGUGGUGUGGACCAUGAUAUAGUUCCAGCCUAAAGAGAAACAACAAGUUUAUGACCAUGGAUAAUAAUUGGUCCUUUUAUUGAGUGUAAGCUGAUCCUGAUAACCAUCGAUUCCAGUUCAUCACCAACCAAUCUAGACAUCUGUUAAACUCGGCCCU
rnacentral:lncRNA from 1 species